rnacentral:tRNA from 1 species
AGCGGAAAAUGGCAUAAAAGGGAUGUUUUUCGGGUUGUUUUAGAACUCAUAACCCGAAGGUCACUGGUUCGAGUCCAGUUCCCGCUA